rnacentral:rRNA from 1 species
AUUGAACGCUGGCGGCAUGCUUUACACAUGCAAGUCGAACGGUAACAGGUUAAGCUGACGAGUGGCGAACGGGUGAGUAAUGUAUCGGAACGUGCCAAGCCGGGGGGGAUAACGUAGCGAAAGCUAGGCUAAUACCGCAUACAAUCUCUGGAUGAAGGGGGGGGACGGCAAGGCCUCGCGCGAUUGGAGCGGCCGAUAUCAGAUUAGGUAGUUGGCGGGGUAAAGGCCCACCAAGCCAACGAUCUGUAGCUGGUCUGAGAGGACGACCAGCCACACUGGGACUGAGACACGGCCCAGGCUCCUACGGGAGGCAGCAGUGGGGAAUUUUGGACAAUGGGGGCAACCCUGAUCCAGCAAUGCCGCGUGCAGGAAGAAGGCCUUCGGGUUGUAAACUGCUUUUGUACGGAACGAAAAGGCUCUGGUUAAUACCUGGGGCUCAUGACGGUACCGUAAGAAUAAGCACCGGCUAACUACGUGCCAGCCGCCGCAGUAA